rnacentral:tRNA from 1 species
CCCGGGGUCGUCUAGUUGGUUUAUGGCGUCGGACUGUAAAUGCGCUGUUAUCCGAAUGUCGUGGGUUCGACUCCCACCCGUGGGA